rnacentral:rRNA from 1 species
UGGGGAAUAUUGGACAAUGGGCGAAAGCCUGAUCCAGCCAUGCCGCGUGUGUGAAGAAGGUCUUCGGAUUGUAAAGCACUUUAAGUUGGGAGGAAGGGCAGUAAGCGAAUACCUUGCUGUUUUGACGUUACCGACAGAAUAAGCACCGGCUAACUCUGUGCCAGCAGCCGCGGUAAUACAGAGGGUGCAAGCGUUAAUCGGAAUUACUUGGCGUAAAGCGCGCGUAGGUGGUUCGUUAAGUUGAAUGUGAAAGCCCCGGGCUCAACCUGGGAACUGCAUCCAAAACUGGCGAGCUAGGGUAGGGCAGAGGGUGGUGGAAUUUCCUGUGUAGCGGUGAAAUGCGUAGGUAUAGGAAGGAACACCAGUGGCGAAGGCGACCACCUGGGCUCAUACUGACACUGAGGUGCGAAAGCGUGGGGAGCAAACAGG